GAUGAAGAACGUAGCGAAAUGCGAUAAGUAAUGUGAAUUGCAGAAUUCAGUGAAUCAUCGAAUCUUUGAACGCACAUUGCGCCCGCCAGUAUUCUAGCGGGCAUGCCUGUUCGAGCGUCAUUUCAACCAUCAAGCCCUGCUUGCGUUGGGGUCCUGCGGCUGCCCGCAGGCCCUGAAAACCAGUGGCGGGCUCGCUAGUCACACCGAGCGCAGUAAUACAUCUCGCUUUGGGCGUGCGGCGGGUUCUUGCCGUUAAACACCCCCUUUUUACCAAGGUUGACCUCGGAUCAGGUAGGAAUACCCGCUGAACUUAAGCAUAUCAAUAAGCGGAGGA
rnacentral:misc_RNA from 1 species